GCGCAGCAGUCGCGAAAACUUCACACUGUGCGAAAGCACGAUGAGGGAAUCCCAAGUGCUUGCACGUAAGUGUAAGCUGUUUCUCUGUUUAAAACGCAGAGAGAGUAAGGGCUGGGUAAGACGGGUGCCAGCCGCCGCGGUAAUACCUGCAGCUCAAGUGGUGACCGUUAUUAUUGGGCCUAAAACGUCCGUAGCCGGUUUAAUAAAUGCCUGGGUAAAUCGUGUAGCUUAACUAUACGAAUUCCGGGUAGACUGUUAAACUCGAGACCGGGAGAAGUUAGAGGUACUCCUGGGGUAGAGGUGAAAUUCUGUAAUCCUAGGGGGACCACCAGUGGCGAAGGCGUCUAACUAGAACGGGUCUGACGGUGAGGGACGAAGCCCUGGGGCGCAAACGGGAUUAGAUACCCCUGUAGU
rnacentral:rRNA from 1 species